CAGGGCAUAGCUAAACAGUUAAAGCAUCUCCUUUACACCGAGAAGGUACCCGCGCGAAUCGGGUUGCUCUGA
rnacentral:tRNA from 1 species